UACGUAGGGGCAAGCGUUGUCCGGAAUCACUGGGCGUAAAGGGCGCGUAGGUGGUGGCUUAAGCGUGCGGUGAAAGCUCGGGGCUCAACUCCGAGUCGGCCGUGCGAACUGGGCUCACUGGAGCAUAGUAGAGGCAGGUGGAAUUCCGGGUGUAGCGGUGGAAUGCGUAGAGAUCCGGAAGAACACCGGUGGCGAAGGCGGCCUGCUGGGCUAUGGCUGACACUGAGGCGCGACAGCGUGGGGAGCAAACAGG
rnacentral:rRNA from 1 species